UUACUGCUACCUGUAAACAUAUGAAGGGGAAGGUUGACUUCUAUAAGUCGUUGAUACGCUUCUCACUGCUCUUCGUAAAUUCCCUCAGAUUGGGGAUUACUUCUGCUUUGCAGAAAUUAUCUGCAGGGGGCUCUGCAUAAUUUAUAACAAUCUCUGGCAAAACCUCAGAAAAAAAGAUAUGCUUUUGACUUAGCCGGAUGUCAGAGGCUGCGGCAGGACCCAGGGAAAAGGCUCCCCAGGUGGCAUGAGGCUCUGGGAGCGACCAUCCCAACCGAGGGACGGCCUCUUGGAACUUCCUUCUCCUGAGGAGUGUGACACAGUUAAAACGAAAGAAAAAAAAGAGCCACAAGCAACACAGCUGCCAAUGAAAUAGGAGAGGGAUUGCUUUCAAAAGCACGUGGGACUCUCACUGGACUCUCUGAGCUCAUCCACGGGACAGGAGCGGCCAUGGAGUAGAACCUCAGCGUGGGUCUAAGAAGAGACAGAAAUGGCCCAAGAAGUCAGCCUGAAGUCCCUCCGGGAAUCAGAACGCGAGGUGAUCCUCCAGGUCCUGCACCGGGACCGGGAGGUUCGAAACAUAGAGGAGGAAAGGAUACGGAAACUGAAGACACACUUGCAGCAUCUCAGGUGGAAAGGCUCGAAGAGCGGGAGCCAGGAGUACAAAGAGAAGUCCUGUGCCCGCUGCCGGCAGGCCCUGGGGCUCCUGCUGAACCGGGGGGCCGUGUGCCAGGGCUGCAGCCACCGCGUGUGCGCCAAGUGCCGAGUGUUCCUGAGGAUGACCCGCGCCUGGAAGUGCACCGUGUGCUUUGAGGACAGAAACGUGAAAAUAAAAACUGGAGAAUGGUUCUUUGAGGAACGAGCCAAGAAAUUUCCAACUGAAGGCAAGCACGAGACAGCUGGAGCAAAGCUCUUGAAAUCUUAUCAGAAGCUGAGCAGCAAAAUUUCCGUGGUUCCUUCUUCUCCACCCCCUCUCAGUGGAAGCCAGUGCGGCGGCGGCCCUGGCAGGUUCCAGGAACUUGGUCAGUUUAAAGGAUUUAAUAAGUCUGUGGAAAAUUUGUUCCUGUCUGUCACCACCCACAUGAAAAAACUCUCCAAGUCGCAGAACGACAUGACCUCUGACAAGCAACGCCCAGCUGUGGGUCCCAGGCAGUGUGAGGGCCGGUCGGAGAGGAGAAGUCAGUCUGACACCGCGGUCAACGUCACCACCAGGAAGGUCAGCGCACCGGAUAUUUUGAAUCCUCUUAAUCAAGAGAGUCCCAGAUGCCCUACUAGCCCUGUUUUGAAGCAAGAGGGUAUCUCAUGCAGUCCAGUGCCCAACACUUUAUUCUCAGGAGGCUUGAGACACGGAAGUUUAAUUAGCAUUAACAGCACUUGUACAGAGAUGGGCAAUUUUGACAACGCAAAUGUCACUGGAGAGAUAGAACUUGCCAUUCGCUACUGCUUCAGAACUCAUUCUUUAGAAAUAUGCAUCAAGGCCUGUAAGAACCUUGCCUAUGGGGAGGAAAAGAAGAAAAAGUGCAAUCCGUAUGUAAAGACCUAUCUGCUGCCUGACAGAUCCUCCCAGGGUAAACGCAAGACUGGAGUCCAAAAGAACACGGUGGAGCCGACCUUUCAGGAGACCUUGAAGUACCAGGUGGAGCCUACCCAGCUGGCGACCCGGCAGCUGCAGGUGUCUGUGUGGCACCUGGGCACGCUCACCCGGAGGGUGUUUCUUGGGGAAGUGAUCAUCCCUCUGGCCACGUGGGACUUUGAGGACCGCACGACCCAGUCUGCCUGCUGGUAUCCACUCCAGGCCAAGGCAGAGAAAGAUGAAGACAGCGUCCCCAAGAAUAACGGAGAACUUGUGGUCCGGGCCAAACUGGUCUUCCCUGCAGGGCCCGGAAAGCUCCAGGAGGCUCAAGAAGGGACGGGAGACGAGCCAUCACGUAACGGUCAGCUCUGUUUGGUAGUGCUGCGAGCCCAGAAUCUACCUGUGCGCUCAGAUGGUACCUUAAACUCAUUUGUUAAGGGCUGUCUCACUCUGCCAGACCAGCAGAGGUUGAGACUGAAGUCCCCCGUCCUGAAGAAGCAAGCCUGUCCCCAGUGGAAGUACGCCUUCGUUUUCAAAGGGGUCACCCCUUCUCAGCUGAGGCAGUCCACCCUGGAAUUAACCGUCUGGGACCAGGCCACCUUCGGUGUGAGCGACCGCUUGCUGGGAGGCGCCAGGCUUGGUUCCAGGGAAGAGCCAGCGGGCGGUACAGACUCGUGCUCACAAUCAAAGCUCCAGUGGCAGAAAGUGCUCUCCAGCCCCAACCUGUGGACAGACAUGACCCUCACCCUGCACUGACCGGAGGCUCCGGGCGCAGCGGGGUUUCAGGUGCCGGGGCCUGAUGGUCGGCUGCGGGGCUGGGCGUGCGGGUACGGGGGUGGAGGGUGGCGAAGGACCCUGGGGAGUGUGAGCUCUCCCCGUCUACAGCCGUCCUGCUGCUGAGACGUUCUUCCACAUUCCCGUGUGUAUCUAGUCGGCACCAUCAUCGAUGCUACAUUAGUUAGGUCUCAGGUUGGUUAUCUGUGCUUUGAGAGAUGUGGAAAAUGACCCGAUUUCAAUAAAUGUUCAACAGUUACCCUGGUCUCCCUGUGCUUAUCAAAUAGCAAAAAUUAUGACCUUGUUAUGUGCGUUUCAAAGGGAAAAGAAGGACGUGGUGGGUAGUCAAUUCCUACCAUUCUGCCGUGGAAAACCGUUUCUGGAGGAGGUCAGCCGUCCCCACGGGGUGCUGAGGGAUGCCCGUUUCCGGUGGGUCAGUGCUAAGGUCACCCGAGGGCUGCCCAGCCCCACACAGCGCGGCUGCCAGGCUGCGCGGGCGCUGAGUCCGAGAAGGGCUGCUCCAGCAGCACCUGCCCAGAGACGCCUGCCGCCGCAUCCCGCAGGCCUUUGGGUUCAUCCUCACAGGACACCUGAAAGGAAAAGGACCGAGCAGAGCGUGGAAAGGCAGGACGCGAGUGAGCAGAAGUGGCAGCGACGGACACCUGCCGCCUUUUCAAGGACGUGGUCGAGAAGGGAAGGAGGUCGGAACAGGGCCUGGAGGACGACGAGGGCCGUAGGUCUCGAGAACGAUCAAUACAAGUACACGUUAGGAGUCGGCCAGCGGCCCUCUCACUCCGCCGAGCCCGCGCGGCAGCGCCCUUCACAUGGCCUCGAACUCGUCGAUGCGCUGCUUGGUGUUGCCCUGGCGGAUCUGACGCAGCGUCUUGUACUUGUCCCGGCCUUGCCUCAUGUUCUCGUUGUGGAUGAUGUCAUUGUGGGUCCGCUUGUUCUCGUCUCUGGCCUGGGACAGCUCGCUGGUCAGAGUCUGCAACGCGAAGCAGCCUCGGUCAGCUCGCGGCCCCACACAGAGCCCCCCCACCCCGCCCCGCGGGGAAAGCGGGCCCGGCCCGCAUCCCGCUCACCCUCAGCUGCCGCUGCACGCGCUCGUUCUUCUCGGCCUCGGUAAUGCGCUUCUCCUCGUUGCGGUCGUCCAGGAUGCCCUCACUGGACAGCUCGGCGCUGUAGCCUGUGUACUCUGUGCCCUCCUCCUGCGGGUUCUCCUGGACAUGGUAGUUAACGGGCUCGUACACUGGGGGCGGAGGCGGCGGGGGCGCGGUCAUCACCAGGUGCAGCUCCUCCUUGGUCUUUACCAGGUCAUCCUGGGCUUCUUUGGCCUUUGAAAGCAGAUUAAUGGACAGCUGAGAACCUUUCACGGGGAACCUCGUGUUUGGACCAUUUUCUUAAGAGCCGCCUUUGCUCUACAAGAAGGCCACCGUCCGUGCUAAGAGAAGAAGGAUUCCGCUCCCUCCCCCCACUCCCUUCUCCUGGGGGCUGGAGAUGCGCCUGGCCUGAAGCAGCACAGAGCCGAGGCGCCAGGAAUGUGGCUGAGCAGGUGGCCCUGGCCUGUGCAGCCUCUUCCAGGUCUGCGGACCCGGAUCCCCUGAGCAGGUAUCAACUGUGCCCACGGCACCAAGAGAAACUGUCACACCAGGUCUUGACAUUUUUCUAAGUACUGUAACUUCUUUAUGUCUGUAGUCCUUGUAUAUGUUCACUGCUUUUGAAAAAACUGUCAAAGAAGCAAACCCUCCAACCACUGAGGAGCACUCCAGCAUGCUGGUGUUUGGUUUGUUCUUCCCCUGCGCGGCGCUGCUAUCAAGCCCCUCCCGGCCUGCCAGCCCCCAGCUCAAGCCCUUCUUACCUGCCACCCAGUAGUCCUUCCAGCAACUCCUGGGGGUCCGCACACUCAACCCCGCCCACCUCGUCACCAUCCUGACCCCGAGACGCGCUUAGCUUGUACCCGUUCUGUAACCAGUUCCUCAUUUAAUACUUUAUAAGGAGCACUUUCUCCGAAAACCUAAGGACUGAAGUGUUCUGCACACAGCUAGA